rnacentral:rRNA from 1 species
GCAGUCGAGGGGUAUAGGUUUUCGGACCUAGAGACCGGCGCACGGGUGCGUAACGCGUAUGCAAUCUACCUUUCACAGAGGGAUAGCCCAGAGAAAUUUGGAUUAAUACCUCAUAGUAUUACGAGAUGGCAUCAUUUUGUAAUUAAAGUCACAACGGUGAAAGAUGAGCAUGCGUCCCAUUAGCUUGUUGGUAAGGUAACGGCUUACCAAGGCUACGAUGGGUAGGGGUCCUGAGAGGGAGAUCCCCCACACUGGUACUGAGACACGGACCAGACUCCUACGGGAGGCAGCAGUGAGGAAUAUUGGUCAAUGGACGCAAGUCUGAACCAGCCAUGCCGCGUGCAGGAUGACGGUCCUAUGGAUUGUAAACUGCUUUUGCACAGGAAGAAACAACAUUACGUGUAAUGUCUUGACGGUACUGUGAGAAUAAGGAUCGGCUAACUCCGUGCCAGCAGCCGCAGUAAUACGGAGGAUCCAAGCGUUAUCCGGAAUCAUUGGGUUUAAAGGGUCCGUAGGCGGUUUAGUAAGUCAGUGGUGAAAGCCCAUCGCUCAACGGUGGAACGGCCAUUGAUACUGCUAGACUUGAAUUAUUAGGAAGUAACUAGAAUAUGUAGUGUAGCGGUGAAAUGCUUAGAGAUUACAUGGAAUACCAAUUGCGAAGGCAGGUUACUACUAAUGGAUUGACGCUGAUGGACGAAAGCGUGGGUAGCGAACAGGAUUAGAUACCCUGGUAGUCCACGCCGUAAACGAUGGAUACUAGCUGUUGGGAGCAAUCUCAGUGGCUAAGCGAAAGUGAUAAGUAUCCCACCUGGGGAGUACGUUCGCAAGAAUGAAACUCA